rnacentral:rRNA from 1 species
ACAAGUAGUCAGAGCCCGUUAAUGGGUGAUGGCGUGCCUUUUGUAGAAUGAACCGGCGAGUUACGAUUUGAUGCAAGGUUAAGCAGUAAAUGUGGAGCCGUAGCGAAAGCGAGUCUGAAUAGGGCGUUUAGUAUUUGGUCGUAGACCCGAAACCAGGUGAUCUACCCUUGGUCAGGUUGAAGUUCAGGUAACACUGAAUGGAGGACCGAACCGACUUACGUUGAAAAGUGAGCGGAUGAACUGAGGGUAGCGGAGAAAUUCCAAUCGAACCUGGAGAUAGCUGGUUCUCUCCGAAAUAGCUUUAGGGCUAGCCUCAAGUGAUGAUUAUUGGAGGUAGAGCACUGUUUGGACGAGGGGCCCCUCUCGGGUUACCGAAUUCAGACAAACUCCGAAUGCCAAUUAAUUUAACUUGGGAGUCAGAACAUGGGUGAUAAGGUCCGUGUUCGAAAGGGAAACAGCCCAGACCACCAGCUAAGGUCCCAAAAUAUAUGUUAAGU